UUUGAUAAUUACUUCACUCAA
rnacentral:piRNA from 1 species